GGUGCGAUAGCUCAAUUGGUUAGAGCAGCGAACUCAUAAUUCGUUGGUUUCUGGUUCAAGUCCAGAUCGCACCA
rnacentral:tRNA from 1 species